GAUGAACGCUGGCGGCGUGCCUAAUACAUGCCAGUCGAGCGAACAGAUGAGGAGCUUGCUCCUCUGACGUUAGCGGCGGACGGGUGAGUAACACGUGGAUAACCUACCUAUAAGACUGGGAUAACUUCGGGAAACCGGAGCUAAUACCGGAUAAUAUAUUGAACCGCAUGGUUCAAUAGUGAAAGACGGUUUUGCUGUCACUUAUAGAUGGAUCCGCGCCGCAUUAGCUAGUUGGUAAGGUAACGGCUUACCAAGGCGACGAUGCGUAGCCGACCUGAGAGGGUGAUCGGCCACACUGGAACUGAGGCACGGUCCAGACUCCUACGGGAGGCAGCAGUAGGGAAUCUUCCGCAAUGGGCGAAAGCCUGACGGAGCAACGCCGCGUGAGUGAUGAAGGUCUUCGGAUCGUAAAACUCUGUUAUUAGGGAAGAACAAAUGUGUAAGUAACUAUGCACGUCUUGACGGUACCUAAUCAGAAAGCCACGGCUAACUACGUG
rnacentral:rRNA from 1 species